rnacentral:tRNA from 1 species
GGGGAUGUAACUAAGUGGUAGAGUGCAUGCUUAGCACACAUGAGACCUGGGUUCAAUCACCAGCACCACAA